rnacentral:sRNA from 1 species
AGCUUGUCGGGGUCGACCGCGCGCGAGGCGAGGAGGUAGUCGCGCAUGACGAUGCCGUGGCGGGCCUC